CAGUCGCCGCGGUAAUACGAAGGGUGAAAGCGUUAAUCGGAAUUACUGGGCGUAAAGCGCGCGUAGGUGGUUUGGUAAGAUGGAUGUGAAAUCCCCGGGCUCAACCUGGGAACUGCAUCCAUAACUGCCUGACUAGAGUACGGUAGAGGGUGGUGGAAUUUCCUGUGUAGCGGUGAAAUGCGUAGAUAUAGGAAGGAACACCAGUGGCGAAGGCGACCACCUGGACUGAUACUGACACUGAGGUGCGAAAGCGUGGGGAGCAAACAGGAUUAGAUACCCCUGUAGUCCCUGUCUCUUAUAA
rnacentral:rRNA from 1 species